rnacentral:rRNA from 1 species
CCCUUAGACGUUCUGGGCCGCACGCGCGCUACACUGACGAAGGCAACGAGCUUUCCUUUACCGAAAGGUACGGGUAAUCUUUUGAAACUUCGUCGUGCUGGGGAUAGAUCCUUGCAAUUAUUGAUCUUAAACGAGGAAUUCCUAGUAAACGCAAGUCAUCAGCUUGCAUUGAUUACGUCCCUGCCCUUUGUACACACCGCCCGUCGCACCUACCGAUUGAAUGGUCCGGUGAAAUCUUCGGAUUGAGACUUUGAUUUCUUCACGGAAAACGCUGUUUUAAAAAGUUGAUUAAACCUUACCAUUUAGAGGAAGGUGAAGUCGUAACA